GAUGAAGAACGUAGCGAAAUGCGAUAAGUAAUGUGAAUUGCAGAAUUCAGUGAAUCAUCGAAUCUUUGAACGCACAUUGCGCCCGCCAGUAUUCUGGCGGGCAUGCCUGUCUGAGCGUCAUUUCAACCCUCAUGCCCCUAGGGCGUGGUGUUGGGGAUCGGCCAAAGCCCGCGAGGGACGGCCGGCCCCUAAAUCUAGUGGCGGACCCGUCGUGGCCUCCUCUGCGAAGUAGUGAUAUUCCGCAUCGGAGAGCGACGAGCCCCUGCCGUUAAACCCCCAACUUUCCAAGGUUGACCUCAGAUCAGGUAGGAAUACCCGCUGUACUUAAGCAUAUCAAUAAGCGGAGGA
rnacentral:misc_RNA from 1 species